rnacentral:rRNA from 1 species
CACGUAGGAGGCGAGCGUUGUCCGGAAUCAUUGGGCGUAAAGAGCGCGCAGGCGGCCCGGCAAGUCGGGUGUGAAAUCCCGGGGCUCAACCCCGGGACUGCAUUCGAUACUGUCGGGCUAGAGGUAGGUAGGGGAGAUCGGAAUUCCUGGUGUAGCGGUGAAAUGCGCAGAUAUCAGGAGGAACACCGAUUGCGAAGGCAGCUCGCUGGGACGUCACUGACGCUGAGACGCGAAAGCGUGGGGAGCAAACAGG